UGCCCUAACUGUGAUCUGGGAGGGCUUGCUUUGCUGUGGAUUGAUCUUGGUUCCGGCAGCACCUCUUUGGCUGCGGAUCAAUAGCAGAGAUCUGUGAAUUAGGGACUUUGACGCGAGACGAGUA